GUGGGGAAUCUUCCGCAAUGGACGAAAGUCUGACGGAGCAACGCCGCGUGAGUGAAGAAGGUUUUCGGAUCGUAAAGCUCUUUCGUCAGGGACGAACGUAUUUCUUGUAAAUAAUGAGAGAUAGUGACGGUACCUGAAUAAGAAGCCACGGCUAACUACGUGCCAGCAGCCGCGGUAAUACGUAGGUGGCAAGCGUUGUCCGGAAUUAUUGGGCGUAAAGCGCGCGCAGGCGGGAUAUCAAGUCUGUCUUAAAAGUGCGAGGCUCAACCUCGUGAGGGGACAGAAACUGGUAUUCUUGAGUGUCGGAGAGGAAAGUGGAAUUCCAAGUGUAGCGGUGAAAUGCGUAGAGAUUUGGAAGAACACCAGUGGCGAAGGCGACUUUCUGGACGAUGUCUGACGCUGAGGCGCGAAAGCUAGGGGAGCGAACGGGAUUAGAUACCCCAGUAGUCC
rnacentral:rRNA from 1 species